GUUAAACGACUAUCCAAAUGAUACGGUUAAUAUGAACUCAAUUCUAUGACCGAAAAAUUGACUCGUUAUUCCAGUCACAGAGACACAAACAAGAAGUAGAUAAAGUUCGAACUGAUUAAGUCAUAUGAAAAGGUCACGAUAGACCUUUAAGAACGCAAUGCGAUAAUUUUAAUAGGCUCUAUGAUGCAAACAAUAUACAACGCAACACUUCAUUUCAUUUAUUUAUAGCCGAUCAGAUGAAUGCUCUGGAUUUUUUUGAUUUUAUGGAAAAAUUUCUUAAAUUAAUCAGUGCAAAAUUGUGUAACCUCAUUUCUCUUGUUCUAUUUCUGAUGUUUUAAUACGACUCGUGUCUUCUGUUUCAGCCAAAAUCGUGAAUGCCAGACCUUGUCACGGGCAUACUGCACAAUUGCAUUUGAUUUAUGAUGGGUUAUCAAGUGACCGCACAGAUCACAUUUGAAAAUCACUCGUGAUUCGUGAUAACACACAAGCGUAGUCUAAACUUGUUCGAUUUAUCAGCGCAGCGACGUGAUCAUAAAACGAAAAACAAAACCGAGAUGCUUCGUUUCCGUUGAUGCUUCGGAAGUAACGAAGUAGUAAUUUGACGUUGGUACAAAGAGCAUUGAUAUUCCGAUUUUCGCAUCAGAAGCGAAUAAAUAUCGUCGCAAGUGACACGUAUCACACCGAUUUUUGUUAACGAACCGAGAACCGUGUGUUUGUUAUUGAUUUACGAAAGCCGAUUCUUCACCCCGGUUAUGUGCCACAAUGAAAUUCCUUUGCUUCCUUGCAGCCGGUUUGUUAUGUAUGCAUUACGUUCUGUUUUGGGUCAUGUGUGAUUGCUGUCAUGGUUAUAAACCAUAGAAAAUUGGAGCGUUUUGUUUCAUCGAGGAGACAUGACUAGCAAAAUGAUUUGAUAGUGUUGAAUGAAAUAUUUUUAAGGAAAAUGUGCAACAAACCGGUUAUUUCCAGAAAUAAAAAAAGUUCGAACUAAA